AGUCGAGCGGUAACAGAUCCAGCUUGCUGGAUGCUGACGAGCGGCGGACGGGUGAGUAAUGCAUAGGAAUCUGCCCGAUAGUGGGGGAUAACCUGGGGAAACCCAGGCUAAUACCGCAUACGUCCUACGGGAGAAAGGGGGCUUCGGCUCCCGCUAUCGGAUGAGCCUAUGUCGGAUUAGCUAGUUGGUGAGGUAACGGCUCACCAAGGCCACGAUCCGUAGCUGGUCUGAGAGGAUGAUCAGCCACAUCGGGACUGAGACACGGCCCGAACUCCUACGGGAGGCAGCAGUGGGGAAUAUUGGACAAUGGGGGCAACCCUGAUCCAGCCAUGCCGCGUGUGUGAAGAAGGCCCUCGGGUUGUAAAGCACUUUCAGCGAGGAAGAACGCCUAGCGGUUAAUACCCGCUAGGAAGGACAUCACUCGCAGAAGAAGCACCGGCUAACUCCGUGCCAGCAGCCGCGGUAA
rnacentral:rRNA from 1 species